rnacentral:tRNA from 1 species
GCUUUCGUGUUGUGGUGGUCAGCAUGCUCGACGCGUAAUCGAGAGGACCGUGGUUCGAUUCCCACCGAAGGCG